GGGGUCUUAGCUCAGUUGGGAGAGCAUCUGCUUUGCACGCAGAAGGUCGUGAGUUCGACUCUCACAGGCUCCA
rnacentral:tRNA from 1 species